GAUGGCUCUAACUGAACACUGUCCAAGUACUUGACACAUGCUAAUCGUACGACUAAUUAGAUUUUAAAUAAUAUUUAAAAAUAAGUAGUAGUGGUGUACAGGUGAGUAAAUGAUAAAUUGGCUACCUUAAAGUUAGGGGGGAAAUCACAUAAAUUAACUAAUAAUAUAGUAUUAUUAUGAAAAAUUAACUAAUAAUAUAUUAUUAAGUUUAGUAAAGAACAAUAACGAAAAAUUAAUGUAUAAAAGUUUAACUAUGUCGCAAUAGACAUAGAUGCAUUAAUUUAGUUAAUUCGAUAAAAAUCGUGUUUGCUUUAGGAUGUAAAUUUUUAUCUCGGUGAGUAGUAGGAAAGGUAAUGACUUUUCUAGCAAUAACCGUAGUCGUAACUGGAAAGUUGAUCGACCACAUUGGGUCUGAAAAAAACCCAAUGCUUUUUUGUACAGCAGUGAGGAAUAUUGGUCAAUGGCGCAAGGCUGAACCAGUAACUUGGAAGAAUGAAAGUGUAUUUGUAUAAAUACAAUAGUGGUUAAACCACAUAAAAUUCUAAAUAGAUUAUAUAUAAUGACAAAAUCUAUUUAUAAGUCUUGACCAAACUACGUGC
rnacentral:rRNA from 1 species